GUCAUGUGGCCGAAUGAUAGGCGGUAGGUUGUAGCCCUAUUUACAUUGGUUUAAUUCCUUUCUUUAUCA
rnacentral:tRNA from 1 species